GAGUUUGAUCAUGGCUCAGAACGAACGCUGGCGGCACGCCUAACACAUGCAAGUCGAGCGCAUCCUUCGGGAUGAGCGGCGGACGGGUUAGUAACGCGUGGGAACAUACCCUUCACUACGGAAUAGCCUCGGGAAACUGAGAGUAAUACCGUAUACGCCCUUUGGGGGAAAGAUUUAUCGGUGAUGGAUUGGCCCGCGUUAGAUUAGAUAGUUGGUGGGGUAAUGGCCUACCAAGUCUACGAUCUAUAGCUGGUUUGAGAGGAUGAU
rnacentral:rRNA from 1 species